rnacentral:rRNA from 1 species
UUCCCAGACUCCUACGGGAGGCAGCAGUGAGGAAUAUUGGUCAAUGGUCGGGAGACUGAACCAGCCAAGCCGCGUGAGGGAUGAAGGUACAGAGUAUCGUAAACCUCUUUUGUCAGGGAACAAAGGCGGGGACGCGUCCCCGGAUGAGUGUACCUGAAGAAAAAGCAUCGGCUAACUCCGUGCCAGCAGCCGCGGUAAUACGGAGGAUGCGAGCGUUAUCCGGAUUUAUUGGGUUUAAAGGGUGCGUAGGCGGUCCGUUAAGUCAGCGGUAAAAUUGCGGGGCUCAACCCCGUCGAGCCGUUGAAACUGGCAGACUUGAGUUGGCGAGAAGUACGCGGAAUGCGCGGUGUAGCGGUGAAAUGCAUAGAUAUCGCGCAGAACUCCGAUUGCGAAGGCAGCGUACCGGCGCCAGACUGACGCUGAGGCACGAAAGCGUGGGGAUCGAACAGGAUUAGAUACCCGCGUA